GUCCCUGUGGCUCAGUUGGUAGAGCAUGGUGUUAGCAAUGCCAGCAUGGUGUGUGCAACACCAGGAUUGUGGGUUUGAUUCCCACGGGGGGCC
rfam:Salmo salar isolate Sally breed double haploid chromosome ssa09, whole genome shotgun sequence.